rnacentral:rRNA from 1 species
UACGUAGGGUGCAAGCGUUAAUCGGAAUUACUGGGCGUAAAGCGUGCGCAGGCGGUUGUGCAAGACAGGUGUGAAAUCCCCGGGCUUAACCUGGGAACUGCACUUGUGACUGCAAGGCUGGAGUGCGGCAGAGGGGGAUGGAAUUCCGCGUGUAGCAGUGAAAUGCGUAGAUAUGCGGAGGAACACCGAUGGCGAAGGCAAUCCCCUGGGCCUGCACUGACGCUCAUGCACGAAAGCGUGGGGAGCAAACAGG